GUGAUUGGUCAGACCAUAGAAGACAGCGCGCUAGCGUAUCUAGUCUUCUAUAUAUAUCUAUGGUCGGCACGUCUGGUAGCAUCUGUGGCUGCUGUUGACCUUGUUUUUGGAGUAAAACACGGUGGAAGCUGAAUUAGUGAUGAUGACUCCUGCUCCUGUCAUCUCUAAGCUCCUCACACAUCUUUACCUGCACAUGAGGAAAAUCACUCCUGUAGAAUGCAAAUGUUCAGAGGGAGAUGAUGCCACAUCUGGUCCAGCUGAUGGAAGGUCUUGAAGUUCUCUGACUGGCCUCGACUGAAGAUGGUCGUCUCACUGGAUUUAAGGUUCAGAUGCUCAGUAACAAACUCCACCAAUGUGCCAACAGGGAAGCUUUAGGUUUAUUAAAUGUUGCUAUGAAGGUAUCGCUGUUUUUCUUUGUGAAUGCAAUGUGCUCCAACUGAAACUUGAAUUAGAACUUAGAAGUAAAUCCUUCCAUCUGAAAGGAUUUAGUUGCAUUAAUAACCUCAUAACAUUCAAAUUUUUAUUCCAGUCUUGGUUGAAAAUAGAAUCUCUGCAUUGAUUCAGGUAAAAACUGAACUUCACAGCAUGUUGGAGCAAAACAACCAGAUGAAAACUGUGAAGGUGUUGGAUUGUCAGAACGUAAUGUUGCAGCUCAAAGCAGCUUUUCUAUCUCAGUUCAUUCUGACAUUCAGCUAUGAAUCAACACAGCAGAUGGUGAUCCAUGCUGUGGAAGUCUCACAUCUCCUGAUUUAAUGGAGCUGCUUUGUACUUUUUACACUGUUUAUUCACCAACACUUUAUUUAAUAAAAGUCCCAUCUAGUUUUUAUGAGGAAUGUGAUGUUUUAAUUUCUCUGUGAACAACUGCAGUCUAAUGUAACAGCUGGAGUUGUAACAUCUGUCCUGAUAUUGAUCAUGAAGUAUUGAUCAGAAUACUUAUGGUCAGCAGUCAUCCCUGAAGUUUUACAUUAAAAUCUUUACUUGUGUUGUGAACUUUGGUAAGAAGCAGAAAUGUUAGCGUUGCCAUGGAUACAUGAGUGUUAAAUUCUGUCCAUGUUUCCAUUUUGGGAAAUUCAGUCCAGUUCCAGAAUGUGGAGGAAUUUAGUCUCACAAUCACAGACAACAAAUAUUAUCUGAAAGUCGGGUUAUUGUUGUUUAUCAGCACAAUACAAAAAGAUUAAUGUUAGAAAUAUCCCAGUUAAGACCCUAGAAUAUCAUGAUUUAUGUAAAUUUACCUCAAUAAUAUGAAUGUUCAGGUUAAGAUUGUGCAGUGAUAUUUAUUAUGUAAGUUUAGCUGAUUAAAGUUUAUGACUCUGCACUACAAUAUUAUUUAUUAUUUAGAUUUACAUCAUUAUAAUAUUUAGGGUCAGACCCUACAGUAUUGAGAUUAAGAAAUUAAAUAUUCUAUAAAAUGUAAAUACACUGAACUCAUUUGGAUAUAUUUAAGUGAGACUCUACAAUAUUAUUUGACACAAAUCUAUCUAAAUCAAAAUUUUAAUAAUUUUCACGCCAAACAUUUACUGGACUGAUUUAAAUAUUAAAAUCACUCCUUUCUAAUCCUCUGCUGUACGUUCAAACCUGAGGCCUUAAAUAGAAACACACAAGUAUCUGAUUGAAGGAACUUCUGCAGAGUCCUGGUUCCAGAACAUGAUGAUAGAAUUAUAGACAAACUUUAACAAAAGCUGCCUGAGAGUUUACAGGUUUUUAUGUUGGAUUUCUUCAGUAAUUUAAUGAGUUAUCAGCAAAAAUCAAGUGUUCAUUUGAUGAACUUCAUUUCCUAAAACAUCCAGAAUUGGAGCUCAUGUCUUUGGCAGCUGUAAAGUUUCUGCUCCUUCAAAGUUCACAACACAAUGAAUGAAUUCCUAAAACACUCUCUGCUGCAGAGUGUUUGUGAUGCUGAAGCAGUGACCAGUUUUUCUGUUUCUUCUCUGGAGAUGCACAAUGAGGGACGUCUGCAGCAACUGAGAAAGAGUCUCACCACAUCCUGACAUGAGGAAAAAGACUUUAUUGAAGACUACAAUAAGAAAAACUAUCAGACAGCAGACGGCUGCAUUCAAGGCAACAGGAGGAGUCCUACAAGGACGAGCCGGUUCACCUGAUGGCGGCCAGUCGCUGCGGUUCAAAGCCAACACCGACUACGUGGACUUCUACUGGACCACACGGAGGCCUUCAAACCGGACCAACAAGUUCAGCGACUCCCCGACUUGUGGGUCUGAGGACGCCGCCGAGCCUCGGCCCAGCCGGCCUCCUGUCUGUGGGUGUUUGAGUGCUGAGAGGUUUGUGGAUGCAUGUGAACAUGUCUGUGUUGAAACAGCAGCUUUUGACUCAGUAACGCUGGUAAAAACCAAGAGCUCCUUUAUUUGUGACUUCCACUAAAAAAACUGAAGAAAAUAAGUUUGCCAGGGUUCUGACUGAUAACAGAUUAUUAAAUAAUGAAAAUAAUCAUUUAAAUAUUCCUUUAAACAAUCCUUUUAGGUCUACAUUUCCUUUACACUGACUUCUUGAUAUAUGUACAAGUAUUUUGGGUGGAAUAUACCAUUAAGCCCGAUGUUCAAGGGUUCUUCUGGGAAUAUACCAUUAAACCAACCUUUUAGGUAAAUGUUCCAGGAUGUUGGGUAGAAUAUACCAUCAGAUCAACCUUUUAGGUCUACAUUGGAAGAUUUUAGAGUAGAAUAUUACUCCAAACCAUCCUUUAGGUCUACAUUUAAGGUGGAAUACUCCUUUACACCAAGAUUUUUUGGUCUACAUUGAAGGAUUUUAGGUGGAAUAUUCCUUUGAAUGAACUUUUUAAGUUUAUGUUCAAGGAUGUUGGGUGGAAUAUACCAUCAGACCCACCUCCAAGGUCUACAGUAGUGAAUUUUAGGUGGAACAUACCAUUAAACUCACCUUUUAGGUCUACAUUGGAGGAUGUUUAGGAUGGUAUAUUCUUCCAAACCAACUUCUCAGGUCUACAUUUCAGGUGGAAUAUUCCUCCAUACUAACUUUUUUGGUCUACAUUGAAGGAUUUUUUUCUAAACAACCCUUUCGGGUCUAUAUUUGAGGUUUUAGGUGGAAUAUUCCUUUUAACUAGCCCCUCAGGUCUCUUUGAGGAUUUUGGAUGGAAUACUCAGUUAAACCAACAUUUUAGGUGCAUGGCCAAGGAUUUUUGGUGGAAUGUUCCUUUAAGGUGGAUGUGUGAGGACCUUGUAGGUGGAAUACUUCCUGAAACCAACCUUUUAGGUCAACAUUCAAAGAUUUAAGUUGGAAUAUUCCUUUAAACCAACCUAAAUUUCAUGUUUUGAUCAUUAUCAAGUGAGAAACCUCAAUCCAGACUCCUCAUAAUGAUGUUUGAGAUUUAUGCUGCUGUUAUUUGUUUAGUCCAGACUAAAUGACAGAAAUCCACAACUGUAAUUUUAUUUCAGGACUCCGUUAUUAAAUGUCAAAACAAUCCAUGCGACUCUAAAAACUCAACAGCUGUACAAACUCUAAGGAUUUAAACUCUCCACAAGGAUCCAAAAUAAGUUGGACUUCUACAUGAGAGCUUUAAUUAUUCUUCAUCUACUUCCUGAAAAGUUUGGUCAAUGAAAAAAGACAAAAACUAAUAUUUUCAGCUGAACUAAAGACAGACUUUGUGAUUUUUCUGCUCACAUGUUGUGUUGUUGUAAACUUCCUCUUUCAAAUAAAUAGCCGCCUAACCCCCUGGAAACCAGCGUUUGUCCUGUUUUUGUGUUGCUCCUCAGCGACCCUAGACAGCCGGGUCGUAAUGUCUUUUGAGCAACACACCAUACUAUGACGUUUUUACAAUGAUGGUUCUACUAUGGAACCAGUUUGACAUGUUCAGGUGCUCUUUGUGUGAAAACUCAGAGAUUUCAGGUAUCAGAAGGUGGUUUUCAGCUUUCUUUGUUAACUUUCUGCUUCAACUUUAAACUAAAUUUCCUUCACUAACCCAGCCCUCUGGACUUCCAGUAAGCUGUGUUCCUAUUGGCUGUCCAGGUGGCUGCUUGGUGUUAUCAGGAACACCUGAGCAGCUCAGUGUCUUCCUGCUUUAUUUAGCUGCAGCCAAACAUUUCCUCUGCUUCUCUUCACCACAGAACCGGGUUUGGCUCCGUUGCUUUAGUUUGUUUAGGCGUUGGCUUGCAGCUUCCAGCAGUAAAAUCGUCUUUAAUGUGUUUCUUGGUGUGUUUUAGGGCUUUGUACUGGAUAGUUGUCUUGGUAAAUGAGGUUCUUUAGCCACAGUUAGCACAUGGUGCUAAUGUGUGCAGUGAUUAGUGGAUUUGGUGCACCUGAGUUGUGUUUUUGUCUUGGCUGUAGCGAGUCUUUCAAGGUUUUUGGUCAGACACAUUCUGUAUUCUUGUUUGAGAACCAACGUUGGUUGUCCAGAAGGUAAGAGUUCCUGACCUGAUUCUCUGUUCUCAGAGGUUCUCUGUAGGCUGCAGGAGACUUUAGCAUUUGGGUUGUGCUAGUCUGGUUUUUGUAUGGUUUCAUUUGGACGACUAUCUUGAGGCCCCUCCAUGUGGUUUAGUGAGGUUUUCUGGAACAGUUCUACAAAGCAACCUGCAGCAGAAGAGACUUUGAGAGUUUUUAGGAAGUUCUGGAGACCAGACUUUAGAGCAGCAGAGACAUUUGUCAGCAGUUUGAGCAGGAGAAGGUGAGCUUCAGAGUAGAAAUGAGACGGAAACCUUCUUGACCCGUGUGGUGAGGUCCUGUACUGAGAGUUUGAGCAGGUUGUGAAGAGUCUGUAGUUCUUUGGUCUGAAAGCACAAGAAGAGUCGACUCAUGAAAGGAGAAAACAGGAGAUAGUUGGUUCUUCUGUCGCUCUGCAGUUUCCUUAGACUGAAUAUCAAGUUUAUAUUUUAAAUGAUUUACCAUGUGAGCCCAAGAAGACUUCAAUAAACUCCCUCCAUCCCCUGGACACAACAUAUUUUAUUACCAUGUUAAAUCUUUUUUUAAAAAUGUUUUUGAGUUUUAAUCAUAGUUUUAGCAUAGUUUUUUUCUCUUUGCUUGUUUAGUUUUGUCAUCUGUGUAAAAGGUGCUAAACAAAUAAAGUUGAAUUGAUAAACUGAAUAAUUGACUAACUCAUGAUUGUGACAACAGAAGUAUUUUCAUUGUGAUUUAAGGGUUUAUUUCAUUUUUAAGGUUGGGGUUAAAAUCU